rnacentral:pre_miRNA from 1 species
CUCGAGGGAAAGGAAGAUAGUCCCUCCAUUCCAAAAUAUAUACUCCCUCCCUCUUAUAUGAAUAUUUUUUAUAAUUUAUAUUUUUAUUGUUAGAUGAUAAAACAUGAUUAAUAUUUUAUGCGUGACUUAUCUUUUUAAUUUUUUUUAUAAUUUUUUCAAAUAAGACGGAUGGUCAAACGUUGGACACGGAAACCAGGGUUUGUCUUUUU